rnacentral:sRNA from 1 species
AUGGUAUCACAAGAAGGAUCUGAAGUGGAGCUUCUAGUAUCCCCAGGAGCAUGAAGUGAACACGGAAGGUACCUGCAGGAUCCAGUUGUGUCCAUUGAUCUCUCAGAGUGGCUGAGGAUAAUAGGUGUAUGGCUCUGUGUAUCACAUCAAUCACGGGAACCCCUUCAACAUGGAGGUGCUGGUGGACUCCUGGCCUGAAUAUCAGAUGGUUAUUAUCCGGCCUCAAAAGCAGGAGAUGACUGAUGACAUGGAUUCAUACACAAACGUAUAUCAUAUAUUCUCCAAAGAACCUCAAAAAUCAGAAGAAGUUUUGAAAAAUUGUGAGAUCAUAAACUGGAAACAGAGACUCCAAAUCCAAGGU